UUAUUUGUUCUUUAUUUUAUUUAAUUAACUUUUAUUCGCAGCAUCUGGGCGAGUCUGUCUACAAUCCUGACGGCGAGCGUGUGAAGCCCGCGGCCUCCCUCGCCUCCAGCUCCCCCAUGGAGUCCUGACCUCCAGCUCCCCCGUGGAGUCCUGACCUCCAGCUCCCCCUUGGAGUCCUGACCUCCUGCUCCUCCAUGGAGUCCUGACCUCCAGCUCCCCCUUGGAGUCCUGACCUCCAGCUCCCCUUGGAGUCCUGACCUCCUGCUAGCCUGAUCUCCAAUCAAUGUUUAUAAUCUUUUAAUGAACUUCAUCUUUAUUUGAUAAUCUUGUUUUAAAAAGUAAAAAUAGAUGCAAUGUUGGGAAUUUAAGACAAUAUGUAAUGUUCUCUAUAAUAAAUCAACUUUAUAAUCCUCUAUUAGGAUCUGCUAUGUUCUGUCGUAGUUUAAUAGUUAAUCGGCAGUAUCUUCGAUUUACGCUGUUUGUAGGUCCACGAAUAUUAUUUUAUAUAUGGCGGGGAAAUAUUUUUUGCAUGACUCAAGAUGAGGGGUAAAAGGCACCUGUUUAUUCCUUUGGAUCUUAAUGCUAUUGUUCGUAUUAGUUUAUGUUAUAAGUUUCAUAUGUGGUAAAUCAAUCUAAUAUGUUGCUCACUCUAGGGAAUGAGUGGGGUUCACAUUGAGAGGGUUAGGUGAGUGAGAGGGUUAGGUGAGUGAGAGGGUUAGGUGAGUGAGAGGGUUAGGUGAGUGAGAGGGUUAGGUGAGUGAGAGGGUUAGGUGAGUGAGAGGGUUAGGUGAGUGAGAGGGUUAGGUGAGUGAGAGGGUUAGGUUACUGAGAGGGUUAGGUUACUGAGAGGGUUAGGUUACUGAGAGGGUUAGGUUACUGAGAGGGCUAGGUUACUGAGAGGGCUAGGUAAAUGAGAAGGUAGUGGUAAGUGAGAAAGGGUUAGGGAAGCUAGUAAAAGCUUUUAAUGUUAAUCAUUUUGAAGACGACAGAGCGGUACAAUUUUAGUCAUUGUUACCAUCAUAUUAAUUGCCAUGAUUUCAUUUGGUCACAGAGAUCUGCUGUGUUUAUGAUAACGAGUGAUAUUUUUAAACGAAUGGUGCUGUGACAUGGCGAAAGUUUUUUUUUAAGUUUCAUGUAAAUAUUUUUACGCUUUUGUGUUUUGCUAAAAAACUUUUGUCGUGUUCCUUUGGUUCACAUUUGCGUUAUUACUGACGAAGAGCUCGAAGUUUCGUUCUUUUUGCAAUACGCAUCAUCACAAAUAACUCUUAUCACAAUGUCAUCUUUAUGUUAGUUUGUUCCUACUAUUAAAAUAUGGUGUAUAUAUUAUUAAUUAUCUAGUAUAUGUAUAAAUUUUAUAGCUGUAGGUAAUCGACUUGGAUGUGUUUUGAAAUAAAGUGAAAGAGAUCCAAUGUCACGGAACAUAUGCACUUAAGACAUGCUUGCUAAUGAUAUAUUUGUUCAUUAUUGAAUAUUAGUAAAGUGAGCACUCUUGAUUAAGAUUAGGUACAUUUAUCUCUCGUGUGACUGAUAGCAACAUUCUCAAAGCAUUUCCAUUGUCGUAAAUCCGUCAACUUACCACUUGCGUUAAUUUAUGUUAAGCCAUGACUUAACAAUACCUGUAGAGCUUGUAUUAACUACUGACUCACGAUUAUUGUUAAAGCCACAAUUAUCAAGUGCUGGAUCUCCUCAGAUUCUUCGAUCAGCGUUUGAUUAUGAUCGUUAAGGGCCUCAAAGGUACGGGCCAUUAAUGGCCCUUAUAAGGGCCUUAAAGGUACGGCCCAUGAUCGUUAAGGGCCCUUAAUAAGGGCCUUAAAGGCACGGCCCGUGAUCGUUAAGGGACCUUAAUAAGGGUCUUAAAGGUACGGCCCAUGAUCGUUAAGGGCCCUUAAUAAGGGCCUUAAAGGUACGGCCCAUGAUAGUUAAAGGCCCUUAAUAAGGGCCUUAAAGGUACGGCCCAUGAUCGUUAAGGGCCCUUAAUAAGGGCCUUAAAGGCACGCCCCAUGAUCGUUAAGGGCCAUUUAAUGGACUUGGAGUUACGUUCACUGAAGCACUUACAGUUAGCCCAAACCUUUGAAUAUUAAAUGAAUUACGUUUUUAUUACAUUGCUUACGAUAGCGAUAUUCGUUGUGUCAUUCUAAGCCUUACAAUCACCGUAAAAACUCAAUCUAGGUUUUAAGAUCGCUACAGACAAGAUAAGUCUUGUACUUACGAUCACUUUAAGACUUCGGUAAUUGUAAUGGCCUUCGAGUGCACAACUUACCCGGUCAGUACAAAUAAAGUUAAGUCGUC